AUGAUCCUGUUGCUCAUUCCUGUCCUUGAGAUGAUUGUUUCCCUGAAUGAUGCCAGAGCUCAGUUGGUGACCCAGCCUGAUGUCCAAGUCUCUGUCUCUGAAGGAGCCUCACUGGAGUUGAGAUGCAAUUACUCCUAUAGCACAACUCCUUAUCUCUUCUGGUACGUUCAGUACCCCAACCAGGGCCUCCAGUUUCUCCUGAAGUACAUUUCAGGGGACAACACACUGGUCAAAGGCAUCAACGGUUUUGAGGCUGAAUUUAGGAAGAGUGAAAGCUCCUUUCACCUGAGGAAAUUCUUUGUCUAUUGGCGUGACUCGGCUGAGUACUUCUGUGUUCUGAGGACACAGUGCUUGGGACUGUAG